UUUCCGUAGGUGAACCUGCGGAAGGAUCAUUAUAGUAUAACCAAGGUGCGAGGGCUGUCGCGGACUAGACAGGUCGUGCCCGCCAGAGUGCCCUCCCACACAUCCAUCUCACCCCUAUGUGCACGACCGCGUGGGUCCCACUUUGGCUUGUUCAGUGGGGGGCUUACGUUUUGACCCAAUCUUUGUCUGCUGUGUAGAAUGUAUUUUGUGUUUUUGCGAUCACGCAAUCAAUACAAAUUUAAAAAAGGGACAUCUCUGUUAUCGCAUCGAAAAAGAACGUGACACGUGUUCGUGGGGUGGGCCUGAGGAAGAAUAGUGAUGUUAUGCGCGCUGUUGGGGUGCAGGCGCAGAGCCGACAAGACGUGCACGCACGAGUGCCAUCACACAGAUCAACCCCUCCCCGUUGUUCACCACGGCUUGGUUCCGCCUGUGGCUUGUUCGGGGGGGGUCUUACGUUUUCACACAAACUUUGUAUGCAGUAUAGAAUUUAGUUUUUGUUUUUGCGAUCACGCAAUCAAUACAACUUUCAACAACGGAUCUCUUGGCUCUC
rnacentral:misc_RNA from 1 species